rnacentral:rRNA from 1 species
GUCUACAUUAGAUACCCCCGUAGUCCCAGCCGUAAACAAUGUGCGUUAGGUGUGUCGGUAACCACGUGUUACUGAUGCGCCGAAGAGAAAUCGUGAAACGCACCACCUGGGAAGUACGGUCGCAAGGCUGAAACUUAAAGGAAUUGGCGGGGGAGCACCACAACAGGUGGAGCCUGCGGUUUAAUUGGAUUCAACGCCGGACAUCUCACCGGAUAAGACAGCUGAAUGAUUGUCAAUCUGAAGGUUUUACAUGACUAGCUG